AUGAGACAGGCCAGAGGCUCAAGGAGAGCCAGGACUGAGCUGUCGAGGGCCUGGACCAGAAUUGAGGCCGCGUGGAGGCUGGAGAGACCUGUGAUCAUGCAGCGACCACGUGGCACGUCCACACAGGGCGGGGGCUGUGGGGUGGCUUGGAAGGCAUCUGAGAGCAUCCUUAGACCCGUCCACUCCUACCCCUACUGGCACCACUUGGCACCCAGGCCUCAUAGCCCAUCCCCAGGACCCAGCUGCCCUGUAGGCUGGGCCACGGGCAUCAAGUCAGGCUUCCGUCUGGCCACAGAAGGCGUGGGCAGUUGCUCUCCACGUCCCCAUCCCCAGAUCCCAGCUUCGAUGCCUCUCUGCCGCAGGUCUUCACUGCAUUGGGGACCUGUCCCCGGGAGACAGACCCAUGCCAGCCACCCCAAGAGCAUCCCAGAGGAGUCACGCAGUCAAGACUUGGACAUGUUUGCCAACUAACUGGAGGUUUAAGGAUUAAGGGUGAAGGUGACUGAUGCCAGAUAUGAGUCGGGAAAAACUGUUCAUAGUGGCAAGAAGAAAGAUGGGUUUUUUUGAGGGGGUGGUGGCGGUAGAUGAACUGAUCCAAGUCUUCCCACACGGCAGCUGGAGGCCCCCGCUCUUGCGGCAGGCCGUGCUCUCAGGUGAAACCCCAGGGCGAAGGCGUCCCCGGGGUGGGAGCAGGUCUGGGUUCCUGGCUGGCCUGCAGGGUUCAGAGCCAGGAGAGAACCGGCCGGACCCGUUUGACUGGACUGUGCUGCUGCUGCUGGUGACUUACUACUGACGUCACUGAACAUCUUUUUGACAACUACCAGGUAUUUUGUAAUGGUUCCCACAAGAAACACGUUGACACAGCGAGCACUGUCCCUGUUCCAAACCCGGGACGGGAAAGAGGGAGGGGACGAGCCAUGUCUAGGGGCCGCUGACCCAGCCCUGAGAUGUGGACGCAAGGACCCAGCCCCGCAUUUCACCCUCAUGGCAGCCCACAGGGAGGGACACUAUUCCGACUUUCAUAAAAGAUGAGACUGAGUUUAACUAUCUGUCCAGGUACGGCAUGGCUAGUUAGGGUUCCCCCCAGUGCCAUCUGAGCCUGACCUCCCUAAGAUGCUUUCUGGGUCUAAAUGACACCUUCCCCAGGAUCUCAGAUUCUCAGAAUCAAAGGCCAGGGCAGGAGGGUAUGUGCAUACAAGGCAGUUCUAUGGGAUCUGCCCGUCAUAGCGAAGGCAGGAACAACCUCACAUUUACCCCCAGGAGGCUGUUUAAACAAAGCAUGAUGAGGUCACACAAUGGAGGAACUCUGCAGCUGGACCAAGACUGAGGAUACUCGCUGUAG
rnacentral:lncRNA from 1 species